rnacentral:rRNA from 1 species
GGCGAGGGGAGUGAAAAAGAACCUGAAACCGUGUACGUACAAGCAGUGGGAGCACAGAGCAAUCUGUGUGACUGCGUACCUUUUGUAUAAUGGGUCAGCGACUUAUAUUCUGUAGCAAGGUUAACCGAAUAGGGGAGCCGAAGGGAAACCGAGUCUUAACUGGGCGUUAAGUUGCAGGGUAUAGACCCGAAACCCGGUGAUCUAGCCAUGGGCAGGUUGAAGGUUGGGUAACACUAACUGGAGGACCGAACCGACUAAUGUUGAAAAAUUAGCGGAUGACUUGUGGCUGGGGGUGAAAGGCCAAUCAAACCGGGAGAUAGCUGGUUCUCCCCGAAAGCUAUUUAGGUAGCGCCUCGUGAAUUCAUCUCCGGGGGUAGAGCACUGUUUCGGCAAGGGGGUCAUCCCGACUUACCAACCCGAUGCAAACUGCGAAUACCGGAGAAUGUUAUCACGGGAGACACACGGCGGGUGCUAACGUCCGUCGUGAAGAGGGAAACAACCCAGACCGCCAGCUAAGGUCCCAAAGUCAUGGUUAAGUGGGAAACGAUGUGGGAAGGCCCAGACAGCCAGGAUGUUGGCUUAGAAGCAGCCAUCAUUUAAAGAAAGCGUAAUAGCUCACUGGUCGAGUCGGCCUGCGCGGAAGAUGUAACGGGGCUAAACCAUGCACCGAAGCUGCGGCAGCGACACUAUGUGUUGUUGGGUAGGGGAGCGUUCUGUAAGCCUGUGAAGGUGUACUGUGAGGUAUGCUGGAGGUAUCAGAAGUGCGAAUGCUGACAUAAGUAACGAUAAAGCGGGUGAAAAGCCCGCUCGCCGGAAGACCAAGGGUUCCUGUCCAACGUUAAUCGGGGCAGGGUGAGUCGACCCCUAAGGCGAGGCCGAAAGGCGUAGUCGAUGGGAAACAGGUUAAUAUUCCUGUACUUGGUGUUACUGCGAAGGGGGGACGGAGAAGGCUAUGUUGGCCGGGCGACGGUUGUCCCGGUUUAAGCGUGUAGGCUGGUUUUCCAGGCAAAUCCGGAAAAUCAAGGCUGAGGCGUGAUGACGAGGCACUACGGUGCUGAAGCAACAAAUGCCCUGCUUCCAGGAAAAGCCUCUAAGCAUCAGGUAACAUCAAAUCGUACCCCAAACCGACACAGGUGGUCAGGUAGAGAAUACCAAGGCGCUUGAGAGAACUCGGGUGAAGGAACUAGGCAAAAUGGUGCCGUAACUUCGGGAGAAGGCACGCUGAUAUGUAGGUGAAGUCCCUCGCGGAUGGAGCUGAAAUCAGUCGAAGAUACCAGCUGGCUGCAACUGUUUAUUAAAAACACAGCACUGUGCAAACACGAAAGUGGACGUAUACGGUGUGACGCCUGCCCGGUGCCGGAAGGUUAAU